GGCAGUAUAGCUCAAUGGUAGAGUGUGUGCUUAGCACGCACGAGGUCCUGGGUUCAGUACCUCCG
rnacentral:tRNA from 1 species